rnacentral:rRNA from 1 species
UACGUAGGGGGCAAGCGUUGUCCGGAAUUAUUGGGCGUAAAGAGCGUGUAGGCGGUCUGGUAAGUCGGCUGUGAAAGUCCAGGGCUCAACCCUGGGAUGCCGGUCGAUACUGCCGGACUAGAGUUCGGAAGAGGCGAGUGGAAUUCCCGGUGUAGCGGUAGAAAUGCGCAGAUAGUCGGGAGGAACACCUAUGGCGAAGGCAGCUCGCUGGGACGUUACUGACGCUGAGACGCGAAAGCGUGGGGAGCAAACAGG